rnacentral:rRNA from 1 species
GGGUUGUGAGGUUAAGCGACUAAGCGUACACGGUGGAUGCCCUGGCAGUCAGAGGCGAUGAAGGACGUGCUAAUCUGCGAAAAGCGUCGGUAAGGUGAUAUGAACCGUUAUAACCGGCGAUGUCCGAAUGGGGAAACCCAGUGCAAUUCGUUGCACUAUCGUUAACUGAAUACAUAGGUUAACGAGGCGAACCGGGGGAACUGAAACAUCUAAGUACCCCGAGGAAAAGAAAUCAACCGAGAUUCCCCCAGUAGCGGCGAGCGAACGGGGAGCAGCCCAGAGUCUGAAUCAGCUUGUGUGUUAGUGGAACGGUCUGGAAAGUCCGACGGUACAGGGUGAUAGUCCCGUACACCAAAAUGCACAGGUUGUGAACUCGAAGAGUAGGGCGGGACACGUGGUAUCCUGUCUGAAUAUGGGGGGACCAUCCUCCAAGGCUAAAUACUCCUGACUGACCGAUAGUGAACCAGUACCGUGAGGGAAAGGCGAAAAGAACCCCGGCGAGGGGAGUGAAAAAGAACCUGAAACCGUGUACGUACAAGCAGUGGGAGCACCUUCGGGUGUGACUGCGUACCUUUUGUAUAAUGGGUCAGCGACUUAUAUUCUGUAGCAAGGUUAACCGUAUAGGGGAGCCGCAGGGAAACCGAGUCUUAACUGGGCGUUAAGUUGCAGGGUAUAGACCCGAAACCCGGUGAUCUAGCCAUGGGCAGGUUGAAGGUUGGGUAACACUAACUGGAGGACCGAACCGACUAAUGUUGAAAAAUUAGCGGAUGACUUGUGGCUGGGGGUGAAAGGCCAAUCAAACCGGGAGAUAGCUGGUUCUCCCCGAAAGCUAUUUAGGUAGCGCCUCGUGAACUCAUCUUCGGGGGUAGAGCACUGUUUCGGCUAGGGGGUCAUCCCGACUUACCAACCCGAUGCAAACUACGAAUACCGAAGAAUGUUAUCACGGGAGACACACGGCGGGUGCUAACGUCCGUCGUGAAGAGGGAAACAACCCAGACCGCCAGCUAAGGUCCCAAAGUCAUGGUUAAGUGGGAAACGAUGUGGGAAGGCACAGACAGCCAGGAUGUUGGCUUAGAAGCAGCCAUCAUUUAAAGAAAGCGUAAUAGCUCACUGGUCGAGUCGGCCUGCGCGGAAGAUGUAACGGGGCUAAACCAUGCACCGAAGCUGCGGCAGCGACACUAUGUGUUGUUGGGUAGGGGAGCGUUCUGUAAGCCUGCGAAGGUGACCUGUGAGGGUUGCUGGAGGUAUCAGAAGUGCGAAUGCUGACAUAAGUAACGAUAAAGCGGGUGAAAAGCCCGCUCGCCGGAAGACCAAGGGUUCCUGUCCAACGUUAAUCGGGGCAGGGUGAGUCGACCCCUAAGGCGAGGCCGAAAGGCGUAGUCGAUGGGAAACAGGUUAAUAUUCCUGUACUUGGUGUUACUGCGAAGGGGGGACGGAGAAGGCUAUGUUAGCCGGGCGACGGUUGUCCCGGUUUAAGCAUGUAGGCUGGUUGUCCAGGCAAAUCCGGAUAAUCAAGGCUGAGGUGUGAUGACGAGGCACUACGGUGCUGAAGUAACAAAUGCCCUGCUUCCAGGAAAAGCCUCUAAGCAUCAGGUAACAUCAAAUCGUACCCCAAACCGACACAGGUGGUCAG